UUCUUUCCCUCGGCCUCUCUUGUUUUCGUCAAAUAUUUUCGUUCUCAUCUCAGAGAGUUUUUCUUCCGGAAAAAAAAAACGAAUCAAACCCAAUUUUUCUCUCAAAAUCGAAACCCAGCGAUCUUUUUAGCUUUUCUAACCAAAUCAAAAUCGUUCUUUCAGUAAUCAAAACCCAGAAAACUCGAUCUGUUCUCUAAUAUCUUAAAAAAUUCCUAAACCUAGAAAAUCAAUUUUGUACCUAAAAACCAAAAUCAAUUCAUCUAAUAGCUGAUGGCUUUGUUGAUUAUCAUCAGGUAAAAAAGAAUAAGAAUAGAGAAAAAUAAGGCAGGGAGUCAGUGAGGGUACAUAUUAUGCAGUAGUCGAGUUGCAGGGUAAAUGUUUGUUGAAAUGCUUCAAAGUAAUUGUGUUAUGUGUUUGCUAUUUCACCUGUAAAUUAAAUGUAGGCAUAAUCCUUUGUAUGUAGGAGUCUUAGGAAUCAUUGGAUUUAUUUUGAAUUCAACUGGAAGUUUGAUGAACUGCAUCCAAGAAAUAGACUUAUCUUUUUUUUUUUGAGCAAGAAAAAAAUGAAGCUCGGGAGAGUCGAACCUGAGCCUCCUCUGUCCAAGUCUGGGAUUCCAACCAUCUUUCCACAUUCCAAGAAAUAGACUUAUCAAUGUAUAGAAUUUCCUAUGGCCAUUCAUAUGAGUCACAAUAUUUGCUGAAAUGGUAACAGCUACCGGGAUGUUUCUUUAGAAGAUGCUUAAGAAUAUGCUAUCCCAAGGUAGCAACAUCAUGUGGAUUUUGCAAGAAUAUGGGAGGCUUGUGUACCACCACUGAAGAGGGUCUGGUGGUGUCUCAACCAAUAAGAUUCAAUGGCUCUUGCACACCACUACAGCAAGCCACUAUCAAAAAUACUCGUUGGGGAAAUGGAUAAUCAGGUUAAAGGGUUUAUGUGCAACGACUUUCGAGAACUUGCUUUUCUUAAAUUUUUUGGUUUUCUCACAUAUAUGGGGAGAUAACGUUUAUGCAGAUUUCUUAGCUAAAGAAUGGAGCUAAUAGUUCAGCGCCUCCCUGAUAGGAUCCCCCAACUGCGAUACAUACUGCAAUGUGGGGAGACACUUAUCGCUUUCGUUAGCAUUUCAUGGUCGACAAUGACACUUGCAUUAUUCGGAACGAAAAUGUUAUUCUUUUUAGGUAUGACAAGAGGAAGGGUGAUCUAAUUUUAAAGCAUGAGUAAGGAGUACCCAUAUAUUUACAAAAAGUCUGGAAACAAAUGAUAUCGUGCUGGAUGGCAACUGGCCCUGUAGUUCGAAAGAAAGAUGCUUCUUGCAACAGCUUGGUAUGUGUCCUUCCCUUUGUACAGUUUUGAUACUGUCUCAUAUUUUAGUGCUUCCAAUAGUUUUGAUCUGAAUAGGAUAUCUUAAGACAUGCUAUUCACAUCUGUUAGAACACUCCACUUCUUCUCAAUGCAACGACAGUUUGGAUUCAUAUCAUAGACGACUCUUACAAUCCUCAAGCUCGAUGAAUUAAUGUUCACGUUUCUAUCCCACAACCACUUGACGAAGUGGCUAUAAAAUAAGAGUUGUUCCACUUGUUUAGGAAGUGGUAGUCGUGUGAAGUGGGAAUUCCCACUAAAUCAAUGUCUUUGUUGCCGAGAGUGAACUUGAAUAAUUGAAUUUUAUUUUCAUAUUUAUACUAAUAAUUAUAUAUGAUUUGGUAUGAACUCAUUUCUUCGGUUUUGUGAAAGCUUUUCAGUCUUUAACACUGACGGUCUCUCUCGGUGAUUGGUUAGAACACUCCACUUCUUCUUAAUGCAACGACAGUUUGGAUUCAUAUCAUAGACGACUCUUACAAUCCUACAAGCUCGAUGAAUUAAUGUUCACGUUUCUAUCCCACAACCACUUGACGAAGUGGCUAUAAAAUAAGAGUUGUUCCACUUGUUUAGGAAGUGGUAGUCGUGUGAAGUGGGAAUUCCCACUAAAUCAAUGUCUUUGUUGCUGAGAGUGAACUUGAAUAAUUGAAUUUUAUUUUCAUAUUUAUACUAAUAAUUAUAUAUGAUUUGGUAUGAACUCAUUUCUUCGAUUUCGUGAAAGCUUUUCAGUCCUUAACACUGACGGUCUCUCUCGGUGAUUGGUUUUAUAGGGUCAUUACUAUUUUUGUUCAAACAACUACCUCCUCAAGUUUAUCUGUUGCGACCAUUAUAUACUUUGGUUUUUAUUGAUUUCAUACCAACCAAAAUAUGUAGAACUGUAUUUUUUGGUUUGAUCUGACGAUGAUUUCUUAAUUUGACUCUUUUACUCAUGAUUUAUCUACUUGAGUACGAGUUUUUCCAAACUUCAUUGGUUCCCUGUCUUAAUAGCUGGUUGAUUUUAUUUCAAAAAGAAAGUAAAGGAUCUAUCUUGUGACAAAAGAAAGGAAAUGAAGUUCUAUUUUGGUUUACUGGACCACUUUCCAAAUGGGUUUAUGUAGCCACUUAUACAGCAUACUUUAC